UGCAAGUCGAGCGGACAGAUGGGAGCUUGCUCCCUGAUGUCAGCGGCGGACGGGUGAGUAACACGUGGGUAACCUGCCUGUAAGACUGGGAUAACUCCGGGAAACCGGGGCUAAUACCGGAUGCUUGAUUGAACCGCAGGUUCAAUUAUAAAAGGUGGCUUUUAGCUACCACUUACAGAUGGACCCGCGGCGCAUUAGCUAGUUGGUGAGGUAACGGCUCACCAAGGCAACGAUGCGUAGCCAACCUGAGAGGGUGAUCGGCCACACUGGGACUGAAACACGGCCCAAACUCCUACGGGAGGCAGCAUUAGGGAAUCUUCCGCAAUGGACAAAAGUCUGACGGAGCAACGCCGCGGGAGUGAUGAAGGUUUUCGGAUCGUAAAACUCUGUUGUUAGGGAAAAACAAGUACCGUUCGAAUAGGGCGGUACCUUGACGGUACCUAACCAGAAAGCCACGGCUAACUACGUGCCAGCACCCGCGGUAAUACUUAGGUGGCAAGCGUUGUCCGGAAUUAUGGGGCGUAAAGCGCGCGCAGGCGGUUUCUUAAGUCU
rnacentral:rRNA from 2 species